CUUAACACUAAACCAACAUCCGAUAAAAUUGGAACAAUAUAUAGAAGAUUAGCAUGGCCCCAGUACAAGGAUGACAUGCACAAAUCGAGAAAUGGUCCAAAUUUUU
rfam:Gossypium hirsutum cultivar TM-1 chromosome 18, whole genome shotgun sequence